rnacentral:lncRNA from 1 species
ACAAGAACAUUAUCCUUGUUUACUAUUACUAUACGAAAUGGUUAAGAAAAAAACAAGGAAUUGCUUUCUCGAUGUCUACUAUCUGUAUAUCUUUCUCAUUUCUAAUCCUAUUGCUUUACAAAACUUCACGGGCAGAAGAAUUUGCACCAUGUCCUACUUAUAAUCUCCUCAAACGGCCAGUAAGAUCAAUGAACACAUCCUCUUUGCAAUGUAUUGUAAGGCCACCCAUUGGAUGAUCAAACCCAAACUCUUCUUCAGCUUGAGCUAACAAGUCUUGAAAUGAUGGUUGGUUCAAGUAUGAUACUGGCAUAACAAAUCUCUUCUUUUGACUCUCUCCUACAUAUAAGGCACAAUGACCUUUUGGAACAUCUCCUGAUGUUGAAGACUUCCUUAGGAUUCCCAUUAUCACAAGGUAUAUUUGGUAAACUCUAAAUGGUGACGAAAAAGAAAGAACAAGAAUUUGGAGAACUGCACAGAAAAAGAAUGUUUGUUAAGUGUCUAUAUACUUGUAGUUUGCUCAAAUGAUUUGCGUCCGAGUAUAUAUACAAGUUAAUGUCAAGUUUCAUACUCAAAAGGUGAGAGACAAUGGCACAUGAAGUUUCACAUGGUUUUGCGUUCUAUGAUAUUGUCAAAGAAUUUGCACCAUAAAUUUGUUGAAGAACAACACUAGGUCCCAUUUCUUCUCUUGAUUCUGAAUGGGGUGACACCUUUAAAAAUAAGAGCCACAAUAAUGGAUGAAAUUGAUUACUAAGUCUUGGACCACUUGGUUUAAAGAAAUAAAUGCAUCAACCUCUUUGAUUAAAACUAGACAACUUAUAAUCCACAAAUUUGAGGCCCCAUAAACAUAGCCAACAAAUAGGCACAUGGCUUCGCCCUCAGUGGUUAGUGAAAAAAUCUUAAGCUCCAACCGAAAGCCUGUCUACAACCUUUUAUAUAAAUAACCCCCUUUCUAUGAUCCAUUUUCAUCAUCAACUACAAGUAUAUCGAUUAAGAGACCAUAUUGUUCAAAAUUUCUAAUUUACUUUCUUGUUUCCAAUCUUCCAAGAUAAAUGGUAAUGCUCAGCCCUAAGAAACUCAUCAAGAUGGCAAUGAGAUGAUGGAAGUUUGUAGCCAUGCAGAAGAGGAGGAUUUUGUUUCCAAGAAAUGAUAGUAAUGAAGACAGUUGCAGUACAUCCUCAUCCUAUACUAUUGAAAAGGGCCAUUUUGUAUUGUAUACAAUUGAUCAAAGGCGAUAUGUGUUUCCCCUGGCUUACCUUGAAAAUGAGUCCAUUGUGAAACUUUUAAAAAUGUCUGAUGAAGAGUUUGGACUGCCGUGUGGUGGCCCUAUUACAUUUUCCUGUGGUUCAGCCUUCAUGGACUACAUCAUUUCGCUAAUCAAGAAAGCUGUAACUGCUGGAGAUCUUCACAAAGCUUUGUUCUUCUCAAUUCCUUCAUAUUGCUGUACUUCAACUUUAUAUUUGCACCAAGAAAGUGGAAACCAAUUGCUUCUCGUUUAUUGACUCAUGACAUCAUGUUCUGUAAAUGAAAGCACAAAAUAGAAUGUCUAGCAGUUGAGAGUGUCAAUUUUCUGCUGAAUACCUCUCAAUAUUGAGAGUGUUGUCAUUAAAUAGAAAAUAUUCAAUGAUUACAUCCCUAAAGAUCCUUCUACCUAUCCCUAAAGAUCAGUUUUUCUAUCCCUCAAAAUUCUCUAUUCUAUCCCACCAAAUCUGCUCUUACUAAAGUCACUAUUAUUAUCUUUAACUACUGUAACACCCCACAUUUCGAGCUAGAAUAAAAACCAUGACUCUGAUGCAUUGAUAAUUUCAAAGCCUUAAAUCCUAUGCCAAUUUGGCAUGCUUAUGUAGUAUGUGAAUCCAUUUGAGAAUAAAUUUAGACCAUAGAGGUCCUUCAACUCAAGGAUGAGUUGAAACUAUUUCGAUCGAUUAAGUUUUAGUGGAUGCUGUAAUUUGUGUCAGUUUCCAUCGAGCAUAACUCUCUAUAUAUGUCGAAUUACAAAGACUACUAUGUGUCAAAUGAUAGGUCGUCAAUUUAACUUUCCAACGAUACCAAUUUUGCUAAAAUCCAACACUCGAGCAAGAAGUUAUGGCCUUUCAAAGUAGUAUGCAUCGCCUAACCAAUCGCACAUGGCCACUGGAAAGCAUAUGCAAUAGCAUAUGCGGCACCUAUGUAAAUAUAGGCAAUAUCAUAUGCGGCGCCUAUGUAAAUAUAGGCGAUAUCAUAUGCGGCGCCUAUGUAAAUAUAUGUGAUAUCAUAUGCAGCGCAUAUCUUAUGGUUUGAAGUGACUUAAACACUCCAUUUUUGGGGCAACAUGUUCCUUUUCCCAACCUUAUUCAGCCAUAAACACAAAAUUAAGUCCCCAAUUCUCCAAAAUACAUCCACAUUCAUCUAAAAAUUCUCAAGAACACUCCCAAGAGUUUGAAACUAAAAACCCAAAUAAAUCAAGAUUUAACCAUGGGUUUUCAAAAUUUAUUAGAGAUUCGGAAUCCCCAAUCCAUAGGCUUCAAGAAGCACCCAUUAUUUUCCGAAAUAGAGGUACGCGGGGUUUUUCUAAAUUUUCAGAGGCAUAAAAAUCAUGUUUUAUUAUGAGUUUUUUGAAUCUAUGUAUAUAUUCAUGUAUUAAAUGUUUUAACAUCAUUGUUUUGGUCUUUUGACCUUCUUCAAAGUGAUUUGAGAAUAUGAAUGUAUGAAACCAUGUAUUUAAGAAUGAAUUCUUGUUGAGAGAAUGAUUUUCGGUGAAUUCCCUCUUAUUAUGAAUUUUUCAGAUUUCUCAUAGCAUAUAUGGCUCAGAAAUCAUGACUUGCAAGUCUUGGUAUGACGAUACCAAUUCAGACCAAUGUCAUAUCACACUCAGACUAAUAAACAUUUCAGACUAUCAUGAUUUUAGACAUUCAGAAUGUUGCAUGUACAGAAAAGGUUAAAAUUGGGCAUACAAAGAUGUUAGGUGGUUCCCUGAAUAGGACUUGAGUUCAAGCAACUCAUUGACUAAAACUGUCGUUUGCCAACUCGUGUAUAUUAUUAUACGCUGACUUAAGUGUCGUGUGGUGUAUCAGAUUUAGGAACUCCAACCCUUGCAGUAUACUCGGGUUGGAGGCUUCCCCGCUGAGUCAAUGGCGGAUUACAUAUCGCCCGUGGAAUAUCAGACUUGUAGGGGAUACCACCUAACUAAGAAGUAAUACACAAAUCAGAGUUUGAGAUUUACAAACAGGUUACAUAUUUUCAGAAGGUGCCCAUGUAUUUUUCAGAAACUGUUUUAUGCAUAAUUUUUGAUGAACAUUUGCUCUCACGUAUUAUAUAUAUAUAUAUAUAUAUAUGUUCAAUUACUCUAUUUUGGAUUGCUUCGCGUGCCAGUACAAUUGUACUGACCCCCCUUCCUCCCAGGUACUGAGGCGCAGUCUAGGGGUCUAGAUCCUUAGUAGAGUCUACAGACAGGGUUCUCUCAGAGUUCAGUUGGUGAGCUUUCUUUGCUUCGGAAGGCCUAGUCAUUUAGGUAUUUAUUUUAGUAUGGCUUUUGGUCUGUUGGGGUCCUUGUCCCAGUUAUUCAGAUAGUAUGUCAGUAGAGAUUUCGUAGACUAUUGUAGAUGUUUAUUAAAUAUUGUUCGGCAUGUUUUCAGGCCUUUAACUAUUUUAAAUUAUUGACCAUGUUUCCAUAUUAUUAUGUCUAUACAGUAUUACUUUGAUCAUAUUAAUUAUGUGCAUGAUUACCAGAUACACAAAGGGCGUUCCGGGCCUUUGGGUUCGAGAAUGAUCGUCACGGAUAGGGCAUCGGUUCGGGUUGUGAAGAACAUGGUCCCAGGGUGUCUGCAAAAUUACGUCGGGUAGAGUCUUAUUUAUGGGUGUGUAGUGUGCCACACUUAAAUGCAGGAGGCUACAAGGCAUUUUAGAAUGUCUCUUUUUCUUCAUAUUCUAGUUCAUGCUAUAGAGUCAGAAUGUUCCUCCUUCAUACUCUAAUUCGUGCUAGGGUGUCACCCAUACAAAAAUAAAAUUUAUCCUAAUUCUUCCUCACUCUGGUGUUUCUAGUUAUUCUUCGAUUAUCUAGCAGAAAUUUCAGAAGUCCCACAAAGGAUGGGAGAGGAGUUCCCUAGUGUAAAAUUGUGUCAUCGUUCUUAUGAGGUGUUCAGUUAAGACAAGAGUAAGAUGUGUAUUUUUGAGUGAUUGAAUAUUUUGUAUCAAGCUUCUAUCUCUUGUAAUCUUGAUAUCAUUGUGUUAUUGAAAACAAAAGUCUAGUGAAGCUGUGUGAGGCCUAUUUCGAUUCACUAGCAACUUGUUGUUCAUCUUGUUGUUCUUGUGUUUGUCAGAACUGUAUUUCCACCCGAGUAGUAGUAUAAGUUAGAGUGUCGGUGUCAUGACCUAUUGGUAGUGAAAUUAGACCAAGAAGUUUGUGAUAUGAAGUCAUAAGGUUAGAGGUCAGAGUGAGGGUGACUUUUGUGAUUAAAUAUUUAUAGUUGAAUAACUAUUGAUUGAGAAUGAUUUACCUUUCUUUGGUGGUAGACUAAUGUGGUGGUACCAUUUAUGAAUUGUAUGGUAGUCUAUGGAGGAAGUUUUGACUCAGAAUGUUAUUUGUUUUCUUUCUUUCAAAAUAAAGAAAGAGCCCAGAGUGGAUACUUAAGGUGGUUAUAGAAACCCCUUAUAGGCUAUGAAUGAAAAUGGCUAGAUUAGCCAGUAGGUUGUAAGUAUAGACUCAUUUUCAUAUGGGGUAUCUGAAGGUAGUCUAAGUGCCCAUUGGGGUAACUAAGUGUGAUGUGAGAAAGCCGUAUAAGUAAAUAAGAUUGUAUGGUUAUAAUAGAAGCUUAAGGUUGAUCAUGUCUAUUAUGUGACCUUACCCCUUAACCUUCUUGUCAUUGGUAGUUGUAAGCUAAUACUAGUUGUGAGAAAGUAUGUAGUAUAUUUUUGAAGUAUUUGGGUAGAAUAUCUCAAUUUGAAGGAUUCGUAUAUUUAUAUUAUGUUGCACUCUUCAUUGGUUGUAAAUGAUUGAUGCUAGAAUAUAGGCUUGAAUUUAAAUGGUGUGGUGGUGAACAAUGGCAAGAGAUCAAUGAUACAUGUUUCUUGGGAUUAGAUUUGUAUACUUGAUGUAUUGAAAUAGUACGUCCUAAUGGAUUAUGACAAGGAAAACUGUAAGGUCAUGAUCGAUUAUUGUGGUUAUGAAUUUCUAGUGUACUAGUGUUUCUUGAUGUUUAUUUCAUAGUUUCUAAGUGAGUAUUGUGUGUAAGGUUGGUUGUAAAUCAUGUUUAGCACUAGACAUUAAGUUUGAAACAAUUGAAGGCCAUGGAGGUGGAUGUGAUGAUUUCUUGGUUAAUGAUACUAGUUAUAUGGAAGUGAUCUAUAGGCUUGAACAGUGUAUGCAAGUGCCUAAGUUUAUUUGAUUCAUAAUGAAGUAUGACGUUGUAUAUGUGAUGUAGAAGUAUGCCCAAGGUGGUAUGAAGCUGUAGUAUUUUUCUAAGGCUAUUACAUGUUGUGUAUGGCUACUGGUACCAUUGAUUUGCUAGGUGGAAAAAGACUAGCUCUAUGGUAUAUGGUGUUCUAAAUAGCCAAGUUAAGGACCUUUGAUUGAUAGCGUUGAGCCUUUCGAUAUGAACUUGAUUCUCAUGGUAGAGGAAAAUAAGUUUGAAGUUGCUAUGUUGGUAGACUACGAUAGAAAUAGAGUGGCUCAUUGAAUACUUGGUGAUACCCAUGUUAGGUGUUAUAAUCUAAGCUCGAGUCCUUGAAAGUUGUGCUAAUAGAAAUAAGAGUAGAGGCACUAGAGGGUGUGUACUUCAACUUUGGGGAUACUCAUGAAGAUUUGAAGUUAGCAAGUGUUCGAGUAAUAGAUGAUGACUAUUGGGGUUACAGAAUGAUAGAGUGUACAUCAGGAGGUAGUAUUAACAGUGGGCGUUCCACUCUCAUAUGUGGUCUUUCGGGUUAAGUUUUAUUAAUUUUGUGUAUUGUCAUAUUUCAGAACCCAGAGUGCAGUGAGUGCAGUUAAGUUUAAAGUCUAUUAAGGUAUCUCCCAAAAACUUACGAUGAUGGCUUGAAGCUAAGGGAGAGAUGACUAAACGAAUAACCAAGUAAGACUCUCAGAUUCUUGUAGUGAUAUCAUGAUGAUAUAGAACAUCAAAAAGUAUGGGUGAAUCUCAACCCAUUCCUAUCUCAGUAUUUCUCAGUGAUCCUAAUACCUACUCAUGCUUUAUGAUUUAGUUCCAUGAUCAGUUCACGUUCAUGCAUAUGAUAGAGAGUCAUGUACUCACGCUUUAUAAUGUGCUCCAUUUCCAUAACUCAUGUUUUACGCCAAAUGAUUGGAGAGAUUCAGCUUAUAGCCAUGAAUACCCUAAAUUCAGAGCGCUUUGGUGAGUCCCUGUUGUUGUUUUGCUAUUCCUCAGGCCUCAGAUGAGUGUCAAGCUUCAUAUAGUAUCAUUCCAUUCCUCCAGAUCUUAUGUUCUAUCCUUUUUGUGACUCCUCCUUAUGCGAUGAUAGUGGUGGUGAGUAAUUAGAAGAUCGUUUUUGACAUCCAUUUGAUGAAGAGUCCAAUUUUGUGAAGCAACAAUGGCAACAAUAGAUCUCACCGUUGUCAUUUUUGCAACUGGCAUAAAAGUCUCUCCAUAGUUCACACCAUACUCCUGCUUGUUACCAAGAAUAACCAACCGAGCUUUGUACCAAUCAAGAGUUCCAUCAGAAUGAAAUUUAAUUGAAUAAAUCCAUUUACAUCCAAUUGGAUGGACAUUUGAAGGACAUGAAACAAUAUCCCAUGUGUCAUUUUCUUUGAAAGAAAAAAGUUCUUCCUCCAUUGCCUUCUGCCAACAUUCAUGCUUAGAAUCUUGUGAGUAACAAGUUGGAACAGAAAUGGUGGAUAAAGUAGAUGAAAAGCCAUACCAAUUAGGAGUACGAGAUACUCUCGUAGAUCGUCAAGCGGGCUCAAGAGGAGCAGGCCUUGAAGAAUUCUCAGAUUCUAGUUGUGGUGUAGUUUUAAGUGGCGGAUCAAUAUAAGGAGGGGGUAAAGUUGGCCGCCGACGUUCGUACACAAAUCCGGGUUUGAACCUCUUAGAAGAAGAUGACAAAUCUUCAAAAGUAGGAAGAAGAAGAGAAGCAGGAGAUGACUCAACAUGAGUAGGAAAAAAAACCUGAUUCUCAAAGAAAACAACAUUUCUAGUAACAUGAAAUUUCUUAGAACAUGGAUCAUAACAUAGAAAACCUUUCUGUGAAGUACUAUAAUCCAUAAAAAUACAUUUAGUAGACUGAACAAAACGUUUAUUAUGCGGAGAUGGAGGAAGAUUCACAAACCAAAUACAACCAAAUGUAUGAAAGUUAUCAUAGCUUGGAUUUUUGUGAUAAAGAUGAAAAUACGGAGACUCAAGAUUUAACACUUUAGAUGGCAGCCAGUUAAUUAAAUAGAUAGCAGUAGAGAAAGCUUCAACCCAAUAUUUAGAUGGGACAGAGGACUCAAUCAAUAAAGUAUGAGUGACAUCCAAAAGAUGAUGAUUUUUACACUCAGCGACCCCAUUUUGUUGUGGUGUAUUUGGACAAGAGCUUUGUGAGACAAUUCCUUUGUCAAGCAAAAAAUUUUUGAAUUCAUUUGACAUAUAUUCUCCACCAGAAUCAGAUCUUAAUAAUUUGAUACAAGAAGAAAAUUGAGGCUCAAUGUAAGCCAAAAAUAUCUUGAACAUGGAAAAUACUUCAGAUUUGGUACGAAGAAAAUACACCCACAUAAAUCGACUAGAAUCAUCUAUGAAUGUCACAAAGUACUUGAACUGGGCAUGAGAAACAACUGGUGAAAUACCCCAAGCAUCACUAUGAACAACAUCAAAACACUUUGUAGCACGACUACCCAAAUUAGGAAAAGGAAGAAUUUUAUUUUGCCUAAUUUACAAGUAUAACAAUCAAAUGAAGCAGGGGAAAAUUGAUUUUUACUUCCUAAUAAACCAGAAUUUGAUAAAUAAGACAACACAACAAAAUUUGGAUGUCCUAGAUGCUUACGCCAAAGCUCAGUCUUAUUAGCCGUAGAAGUACAAGCAAAAGACAUAACGGGAGUAAUGAAAAAUUGUAUAGGAAACAAUCUUCCAGCUUUAGGCCAUUUCGUGAUUAUUGUCCCCGACACCUAAUCCUGCACAAGAGAACCAUUAUGAGAAAAAUAUACAAUCUUCCAGCUUUAGGCCCUUUCGUGAUUAUUGUCCCCGACACCUAAUCCUGCACAAGAGAACCAUUAUGAGAAAAAUAUACAUCAGAAUUGUCAUCAACCAAUUUUCCAACUGAAAUAAGACUAGUUGAGAGCUUCGGUGAGACAAAAACAUUCUUGAAAGUUGGAGCAAUAUCCCCAACCUUGGUAAUGGGUAAAUUACUACCAUUAUCAGCCUGUAUUUGUGAUGAACCUUGAUACUUACGAAUAUUUUUUAGCAUGCUUGUUGAGUUGGUCAUAUGAUUGGAAGCACCAGAAUCAACAAUCCAAAAAUUAGAUUUAACAUCAAUACCUUGUAAUCCCAAUGCUGAAAAGGCUUAUACGAUCAUUUGUUAUACCAUUUCAGGAGUAAGAACUUUUCCUGAAGGUCCUGAAGAUGAGUUCUCAAGAGUGGAACCAUUUAUGGUUGCAUGAAAAUUAUUUACCUUACGAUUCUAAGGGCGUGUGGGAUACUUUUUGAUAAUGUGUCCUUGUUUUUUACAAUAAUUACAGAACUUCUUGCCACAAUUUCUAGCAAUAUGGCCAUAUUACUUGCAAUUGUAGCAUUAAGUUCUAUUCAUAUCCCUACUCAUACCUUUGCCUUGAGCAGCAAAUGCAACAACGACAUCAUUUUCUCUUCUCAAAGCAUUUUGUUUGACAUAACGCUGCUCUUCACAAAGCAAUUCCCUAAAACAAACAUCCAGGGAGGGAGACGGGUCACGAUUCAUCAAGUUAGAGCGAACACUCUCAAACUCAGAGCGUAACUUCAUCAAAAAUUGAUCUCGCUGGCUUUGCUCAUGAACUUGCUGAAUUACAGAGAGAGAUUCGGAAGGUAUUUUGGCAUAAACAAUAUCUGUAAAUUCAACCCAUAAUUUUUGAAAUCCAGAAUAAUAAUCUUGAAUAGAAAGACCUCCUUGAGAGUAAUUAGCAAUUUCAUACUCUAAGUGAAAGUGUGGGGCACUAUUAUCUUGGUUGCAAACCUUUUGUAAAUAAUCCCAAAUGGCCUUAGCUAUCUUGUAAGGCCUAAUAUUAGAAACAAUAAAAGGGUUAAUUGACCCUAAAAGCCAUGUCAUCACCCGAAAAACUUUAAUCUUCCAUUCACCUAACUUUGUAGGAUCAGUAUCAGCGGGAUCGGCUCCAUCUAUAUGGCCCCAUAGUUCUUUUCCGGUGACAAAUAACUAAAACUCCCAUGAUGAAAAAUUCUUUCCAGUGAAACAACACUGAAUGAUUCAAACUGAUAUGAACUCAUAAUUAUAAAAACUAGAAAGACUAACUCAAAAAAAAACCAAAAUGACCAAGAUUAAAGUCCUAGGUGUUAAUUGUCGAGGAACAAUCAACAAAAACCAAAAUUUUCAAAAUGAAUUUUGAAAGAAACCACAAAUGAACUCUAUGAAACAGAUAGCCAAGAGAAGGCUCUGAUACCAUGUCAAUUUUCUGCUUAAUACCUCUCAAUAUUGAGAGUCUUGUCAUUAAAUAGAUAAUAUUCAAUGAUUACAUCCCUAAAGAUCCGUCUUCCUAUCCCUAAAGAUCAACUUUUCUAUCCCUCUAAAUCCGCUAUUCUAUCCCACCAAAUCUACUCUUACUAAAGUCACUAUUAUUCUCUUUAACUACUAAAUUAAAUCUAUGUAAUUACACUAAUAUACAACAAUAUAUGAUUACAUUAAUAUACAAUAUUUACAUCAUGCUAAUAGAGAGAUAGGCAACUGAAGGCUUGUUUUAUUACAGAGGGAAUAGAACUUUAUCUUGAAAUUUACCAGAUCUAUAGCUUUCACUUUCCAACUAAGCAAUUGAGAAAUUUUAGCAUUAUCAUUGUACGAUUAUUUAUUAAAGGCAAUCAGUUUUUUCAAUUGAAACUAACAGAGGAAUGAAUCACACCAUCACAAGUCUAAUGAUAUGAGAACUAACUGUAAAGAGUUUAAACUAAGUGAGCUCAUAAAGUGAUCCUCUUUCAGAUUUUCUUAGCAGUUAAAUUUCAUACUUUAAUUAACCUUUAGAAUGUAAUAACAGGCUCAGUGGUUACCACGACACCACACUAAUCGAUCACAACUUCGAGUCUUGUUUCCGUUAAUAUGUCAUUCUUAUUCAAAUGUACAAAUGGAUACUACAAGUGUUCCUCGAGCCACAAGUGUUCCUCGAGCAACAAUACAAGAGCCUGAGUCUUGAGAGAUGGGGACAUGAUCACAGAUAUAUCAAUGAGCUUAAAACUCAGAUGUAAAUAAGUCAUAAUAUUUGGAGGCAUUCCAAGACAAACUAUUGAAAGUUGCUUUAAGAAUGCAGCUGUUUUUUCCUUAUUUUCUCAAGCAGUUUUUCAUGUACAAUCCUAGUUAAAUUAGGAGUCCUGUCUUUGGUAGGAAACUAAUUAGUUAUUUUAAUUUUGAUAGAAAUAGGUUGUUUCUUUGUCCUAUUUUUAGUUGUAAGAGCAACUAUUUAAGUUGCUAAGUUGAUGAUCAAUAAUAGCCGGUCUUUUAACAAGAAAAUAAUCUCUCUUUGCAUAUUCUCUUCAAACUCCAUCUCUAUUUUAGUGGCUAACUUUUGAAUUGAAUUCCUAUUAUUUCCCUUUAACUGUUUUAAACCAACAAUUGGUAUCAGAGCUUUAAUCUUAAGGGACCUGUGAGUGUUUGCAUCAAUCUGAUCCAGUGGAUACCAUGAACAGAGAAACAAAUUUUUCUUCAAUGGCACCACCAAAUUUUCACGGAGAAAGUUAUCAAAUCUGGGCAGUUAGAAUGCGGAUAUAUCUGCAAGCUUUGGAUCUCUGAGAAGCUGUUGAAGAGGAAUACGAGAUAGCUCCCUUGCCGGACAAUCCCACGGUGGUGCAUAUUAAAACUCACAAGGAGAGGAAAACUAGGAAAUCAAAGGAAAUUGCAUGCUUAUUUAUUACAGUUUCAUCUAAUAUCUUGACUUGUAUCAUGUCUCUGCAAUGAGCGAAAGAGGUACGGGAUUAUCUCAAGACUGAGUAUGAAGGAGAUAAAAGGAUUCAAGGGAUACAAGUGAUGAAUCUGGUACGUGAGUUUGAGCUGCAAAGGAUGAAAGAAAAUGAAACCAUAAAGGUGUACUCUGACAGACUUCUUAAUUUAAAAAAUCACAUCAGAUUGUUGGGUUCCACUUUCAAUGAUUCAAGGAUCGUUGAAAAAAUUCUAGUAAUAGUACCUGAAAGAUUUGAGGAUACCAUAACAACCUUAGAAAAUACUAAGGACUUGUCUAAAAUCACACUUGCAGGGCUCUUAUGUGCUUUUCAAGCGCAAGAGAAACGACGCGUUAUGAGACAAAGAGGAGCUGUUGAAGGUGCCUUACCAGCCAAGCAUCACGUUGAUAGACGUUCUAAGAAGAAGAAGAAAAAUAAGAAGUAACAACCAACUGAUGAAGAAGGUGCAUUGAACAACAACAAAAACAAAACAGGUGGUUUCAAAAGAAACUACCCUUCUUGUAAGCAUUGCGGCAAGCUCGGACAUGCACCUUUCAAGUGUUGGGAAAGGCCUGCUGCUAAGUGCACUAAGUGAAAUCAGCUUGGGCAUGAAGCGAUCAUCUACAACAAUAAAACUCAGCAGCAAGAUGCAGAGGCUUGAGUUGUUGAUGAACAGGAAGAGGAUCAACUAUUUGUUGCAUCAUGUUUUACAAGCAGUGUCUCAAGCGAGUUGUGGCAAAUCGAUAGUGGAUGCACAAAUCAUAUGACUUGCGGUAAAGAUCUCUUUAAAGAUUUUAGGCCUACUAAAGUUACAAAAUUUAGAAUCGACCAUGAUGGUUAUAUUCCAGUAAAAGGAAUGGGAACGAUUAUAAUUGAAACACAAUCGGGCACUAACACAAUUUAUGAUGUUCUUUAUGUACCCGAUUUGGAUCAGAACUUGUAAAGUGUUGGUCAGUUAUUAGAAAAAGGUUUCAAAUUGUAUUUCAAAGAUAAAUAUUGCUUGAUCAAGGAAGCAUCUGGACUAGACCUAUUUAGAGUCAAAAUGAGAGGCAGAAGUUUCUUAUUAAAUCCAUUGGAAGAAGAGCGUGGAUUUCACCCGUUAUGUGUGGAGCCACCUCUGCUAAAAGAAGAUAUUCCACUUGAUAAUGAAGGAUGGAUUUGUCCUGGUUGCGAUUACAAAGUUGACUACAUUGACUUGCUUAAUGAUCUUCAAGGAACAGACCUUUCCGCCACUGACAGCUGGGAGAAAGUAUAUCCCAAGGAAGCUGUUGCUGCUGCGUCUAGGGAGAAGCUAGAUGAUAUUUCUGGACUUCGAUCAGAUGACUUAGAGGAUGAUGACUACAAUCCAGAAAAUCCAGAUGUAGAAAAAAAUGAUUCUGAAGCUGAGGCCAUGUCAUGACCCGAAUUAGGGCCUAGCCGUGACGGACAUCCUGAACCAUGAAGGCCUGGAACUUCCUUCUCUAUCUGGUAAUCAUGCACAACACUCAUACAAAAAGAACAUGCGGAAACAUAGUCAGCUACAGAAACAUGGUCAAAUUCUAAUAUCAACAUAAGUAUGGAAAACUGUAGUGCAACUACAGCUAAAUAACAUCUUACUCUGUCUGCGAAAUCUCUACUAUAUGAAAAUCUGAUAAUUGUCUUAAAACUGGGACAAGGACCCCAAUAGACCAAAAUAAGAAUAAGGGUCAUAAUCUGAAAGAUGAGCUUUCUAGAAUAGAGAAGGCUCGCUAGCUGAACACUACAAACUCUAUCUGAUGAAUCUACUGCCUUUCUGGACCCCUAGACUAAGACUCAGAACCUAGAGGGAGAAGGGGGGUCAAUACAGAUGUACUGGUACGCAAAGUAUUCCAAAAUAAAAAUUUUAUAUAGAUAAAAUAGUUGGAGAGUAAAUCGUUAGAUACUAUACAUGAAAUAGUUCUAAAAAACAUGGGCACUUUUUGAAAAUCUCAAAUCAUUCUUAUUAAUGCAAUGUCUGAUCUUUGUAUAACUUCUGAGUUAGGUGGCACUCCCCUACAAUUCUGAUAUUCCAUGGGCUCUAUGGAAUCUGCCACUGACUAGGCGGGGAAGCCCCCAACCUGAGUGUGUCUCAAGGGUUGGAUUUUUUGAUUCUGAUACGCCAAACUGCUCUAGUCCAGCAUAAUAAAAUAUACCCAGAUCGACAAAUCACGAUUUUGGUAAACGAGUUGUCUAACUCAUGCCUUCUUCGAGGCACCACCUAAGCUCUCUUUAUGCCUAAUUUUAUCCUGUUUUUAAUCAUGCAUUAUUCUAGUUUCAAAAUCUGAAAAUUCUGACUUUAAACAUGUAUUCUAUUUUGUUCUGAAUUACCAUGGCAUAAUCUGAGUUUGUGUCGUCACACCAAGACUUGCAAGUCCUAUUUCUGAGCCAUAACGCAUCAUGCAUAAUUUUUUCAUUACAACAUAGUUCAGACCACCCAAACAUGCAACUAGUAUAAGAGAUUUCAUGUUCCAAAAGCAUAAGUCAAAACUAUGCAAGAACUCUUCAAACAGAAGGUGGUCAUGUGCUUUUGGCAAAAUCCAUGCACUCUUUCAUUAUAUGUAUUUUCAACAUUUUUCAAUACAAACAACCCUCUCUCUUUUGAAAUUGAAAUCAUAAUUCAAAUAUGACAUCAUUCAAGACAUUUCAUAACAUGCUUUUCAAGAUGCAGUUUAGAACAAUUCAUAUCAUAUGGAAGAUAAGAAAGAUCAUAACAAGAGAGGGGUUCAUUAUAAGCCAUGCUCUCAAUUGAAUAUUCAUCCUUAAACACAUUCAUACAUACNNNNNNNNNNNNNNNNNNNNNNNNNNNNCCAAAACAAUAUCGUCAAAACUUCUAAAAUAUGAUUAUAUUCAUAAAUCCAAAAUCCUUUUUCUUAAAACAUGAUUUUUAAGCCCAUGAGAUUUUAGGAAAACCCCGCGUACCUCGAAAUAGGGAAACAAUGGGUGUUUCUUGAAGCCUAUGAUCUGGGGAUUUUGAAUCUUCAAUCGAUUUUGAAAAUCCACGGUUGAAUCUUGAGUUUCUUGAAGUUCUUGUUUGAAACUCUAGAGAGGAUUCUUGAUGAUUUUAAUGAAAAUAGGGUUAAUUUGCUCAAACAUACCCUAAAUCCUUUGUUUGGACGGUUUUAAAGGCUAGGAAAAAGUCAAAAUUACCCUUAAUGACUCCUAAACGGAACUGAAAAUUUGAACUUAAAAACCCAAUUUCAGGUGCCACCGCGACACGCCACAAUCGCGGUGGUCCAUUGAAAUUUGACGAGUGGGAAAUUGGGUGCCUCCACAAUGCGCCACCAUCGCCGAACCCCACUGGAAUUUGACGAUUGUCAAUUUGACGCUCUCCAUGACGUGCUAGACACUAAAAUGUUGAUGUUUACUACUGGAACCUUAAAUUAUUCAUAACUUCUUCACCGAGGGUCCGUUUUGGAUGAAUCUUAUAUCGUUGGAAAGCUAAUUUUGUCAUCUACAUAAUGAAAGGUUUAAAUCUAGGAAAUUCCAAAUGAAAAUUAAUUUAGAUCAUUCUAGAAGAUAAUGAUUAGACUUUCCAUGGACGAAAUUUAGCUAAGAAGACGUCGGGGUGUUACAGGCCAGUUCUGAGAAUAUAAAUUUUACUCUGCAUUUGAAGACUUGGCAUAAGCCCCUCCUAAAUAUGAUGGGAUCUUGGGGCUUUCUUCUAAAGACUCAGAAGAUGAUGACUUUAAUCCUGGUAAUCCAGAUAAGGAUGAGUCUGUUAAAACAGAAAGUUCAAGUUCUGAUUUUACGUCCGACUCUGAGGAUUUUAGUUUGAUAGUUGAUACUGAUAUAUUGCGAGGUGAUGAGCAAGGGGUUUUCAGUUCAGUUGAUAACAUUAUGCCUAAUUCUGUUUCCCAAGAUGAAAAAGCUAAAGUUGGCAAAAGUAAAAGGAAUUUACUGAAGAAUGAGUUGUCGUAUCUUAUGCAGUCUGUGAGCCCUCUUUUCUCUGCCAAAAGGCACGUAGAGAGGUGUAGUGAGGGUGAGAUUCAACUAGCUAGGCUGUAAAAAAGGAGAAUGGCCAUCUUCUUCAAGCCUCUUCUCCUUCUUCUUCUUUCUCUUAUAGAUUUAUUUGCUAGCACCCUCAGCCUUGGAAUUGGAAUUAACUAUGGCUAGAUUGCCAAUAAUCUGCCAACACCCUCGCGAGUCUCAUAUCUUCUAAGAUCUCUCAAUGUUACGAGAGUUAAACUCUAUGACACUGAUCCAAAUGUGUUAAGUGUGUUUGCGAACACAGAUGUUGAAUUUGUUAUUGGACUUGGUAAUGAGUACGUACAGAGGAUGGCUAAUCCACAACAAGCUCAUGCUUGGAUUGAACAACAUGUCCAACCUUACCAUACUCAGACUAAAAUCACUUGUAUUACUAUUGGUAACGAGGUCUUGACGGGGACUGAUAUGCGCUAAAGUUUUACCUCCUGCCGGCAAUGUAGGGUGUAUACAGGGCUCUUUUUAAUCUUGGCCUUGACAGGGAAAUACUUGUCGCACAUCCCCACUCGGCUGGAAUCUUGGGAAACUCUUUUCCCCCUUCCUCUGGUUCAUUUCGACAAGUUGCCUAUAAUUCACCAGCAGAACGACAAGCAGCCUAUAGCGCUGGCACUUAUGACUGUUAUAGGGAAAAUGCUCAUCAUUGCCAGUGUCAUUCUUCUCCCUGGGACACAAUUAUGAGACAGAAAGUGUCCAAAGAAUCUCCAUCCUCACCGAAGAUGAUUGGAGAACCACUUGGAACUGAAUCUAAAAGCAACAUGAAUUAUUCUUCCUGCAAUGGAGUUGAGAAAUUAGAACCGCCAAAGCGAUGUUCUAAUGGAAAAAAAUGUCAUGCAACAGAUAUGAGUGAAGGAGAUGUGUUGAUACAAGAUGCCAGUGGAAAAGAAUCAGGUAAACCAACAGCGGAAGUUGAUACGACAAAUCAAGGAUCAGAUGUCACUCCUUGCAACAGAGCUUCUAAGGCAAAGAAUUGGUGUUUGCAUUUCAUAAAGCAAGGAGGAGUGUUGAAAGUUGCUUUAAGAAUGCAGCUGUUUUUUUUUCAGCAGUUUUUUAAGUACAAUCCUAGUAAAAUUAGGAGUCCUAUCUUUGGUAGGAAACUAAUUAGUUAUUUUAAUUUUGGUAGAAAUAGGUUGUUUCUUUGUCCCAUUUUUAGUUGUAAUAGCAACUAUUUAAUUUGCUAAGUUGAUGAUCAAUAAUAGCCUGUCUUUUAACAAGAAACAAAUCUCUCUCUGCAUAUUCUCUUCAAACUCCAUCUCUAUUUUAGUGGCUAUCUUUUAAAUUGAAUUCCUGUUAUUUCCCUUUAACCAUUUUAAACCAACACAAACCAUCGAUUGACAUCAAGAAGACUUACAACACCAUGGUCUACAAUAUUUAACAAAUUGUGGAGAAACUUUACUAUGGCCUAUUUGGCCAAUGAAACAGAAUUUGGUAUAUUUGUAGAGCAACUUACCUUUCUCUUCCUUCUGAGAGGAGUCAUUCGAACCUUAAAAUUUAGAAAUUGAGACAGAAAACACAACAAAAGAAAGCAUGAAAUUCCAUUUAAUCAUCUAAUUCCAGAUAUUCGGGUCAAAGAAACUAAGCUGAACUCAUUAUCAUGUGAUUUCACAGUUCAUUUUCGCUCUAAUAUAUGGAGUUCACCUGCAUAGAAGCAUGCUCAGAUUUACUAUAUAUCUGGAGAUAAGGAACUUGUAACAUUAAGAAUUUGACCAUACAAUCACAAAAAGGUGUCCAGGAACUGCAAAUAGUGAUACUAGUACUUUAACUGCUGGUGUCGAUAAAGACAUCAGCGUAGUUAAGGUGCAAAAUAUCAGGCAUAUCCAUCUAUUGAACGAGGAAACAUAAAAGGUUUGAAAAAAAUUGAUUCAAUACAAAUUGGCUAUAUCCAUUUGACAAGAGGUUGGUCAUUUUAACUCUACANNNNNNNNNNNNNNNNNNNNNNNNNNNNNNNNNNNNNNNNNNNNNNNNNNNNNNNNNNNNNNNNNNNNNNNNNNNNNNNNNNNNNNNNNNNNNNNNNNNNNNNNNNNNNNNNNNNNNNNNNNNNNNNNNNNNNNNNNNNNNNNNNNNNNNNNNNNNNNNNNNNNNNNNNNNNNNNNNNNNNNNNNNNNNNNNNNNNNNNNNNNNNNNNNNNNNNNNNNNNNNNNNNNNNNNNNNNNNNNNNNNNNNNNNNNNNNNNNNNNNNNNNNNNNNNNNNNNNNNNNNNNNNNNNNNNNNNNNNNNNNNNNNNNNNNNNNNNNNNNNNNNNNNNNNNNNNNNNNNNNNNNNNNNNNNNNNNNNNNNNNNNNNNNNNNNNNNNNNNNNNNNNNNNNNNNNNNNNNNNNNNNNNNNNNNNNNNNNNNNNNNNNNNNNNNNNNNNNNNNNNNNNNNNNNNNNNNNNNNNNNNNNNNNNNNNNNNNNNNNNNNNNNNNNNNNNNNNNNNNNNNNNNNNNNNNNNNNNNNNNNNNNNNNNNNNNNNNNNNNNNNNNNNNNNNNNNNNNNNNNNNNNNNNNNNNNNNNNNNNNNNNNNNNNNNNNNNNNNNNNNNNNNNNNNNNNNNNNNNNNNNNNNNNNNNNNNNNNNNNNNNNNNNNNNNNAACUUUAGCUACAAUUCAAAUUAGCCUUAAGUCCUUAACUUUAUAUAAAAUUGCUUCCAUUAGACAUUUUGAUAUAUCUACAGUCUAAAGGUCACAUAUCUAUGUGGCAAAGAAAAGAGCGCAGAACAUGGUUUUGCUUCCUACCAGAAAUUGUUCAUUUAAUGGUCUCAAAUUAUAGGCAUUGGUGAGAAAUACCAAGUUUGAGCUAAUAACAUAACUAAUAGGUCUACUUGGUUUUUGAUCAAAGAGAAGAAAGUUAGAAACUUAUCCACAAAUUUAAGGUCCCAUAUCAACGUGGCCAAGAGGCAUCAGCACAUGGCUUUGCCUAAAAAACUUGUCAGCAGCCUCUAAUUGUAUAAAUAAUCCCUUUUUUAUGAGCCUUUUCAUCAUCAAGCAACACAUUAUCAGUUAAGCAAUCAAAGGUCUCUAAAUUUCUUAUUUACUUUCUUCUUUCCAGUUUUACAUAAAAAGAAAAAAUGGCAAUGAUCAGUACCAAGAAACUCAUCAAAAUGGCUAGGAAAUGGCGGAAGUUUGCAGCCAUGCAGAGGAAGAGGAUUUCACUUACAGGAAAUGGUAGUGAUGCAGACGGUUGCAGUACGUACUCACCCUCUAUAGUCGGAAAAGGUCAUUUUGUAGUAUAUACAAUUGAUCAAACGCGCUUCGUGAUUCCCUUGGAUUAUCUUGAAAAUGAGGUCAUCAGGCAACUUUUAAUCACAUCAGAAGAAGAGUUUGGCCUGUCCAGUGCUGGACCCAUUACAUUAGCCUGUGAUUCAUCCUUCAUGGACUAUAUUAUUUCACUUAUCAAGAAAGGUGUAGCUGCAGGAGGUCUUCACAAUGCGUUGCUCCUCUCAAUUCCUUCAUGUUGCUGUUCAACUUCUUCUUUGCAGCAACAAAGUCAAAACCAGCAACUUCUUGUUUACUGAGUCAUGCUAUCAUGUAUUGUAAAUGAUAGCUCAAACUAGAUUGUAUAGCAAGUGAAAAAUAGGCAACUGAAAAUUUGUACUAUUAUAGAAUGAACAAGAUCUAUAGAAUUCAUUUUUUUCAAUUUGGGAAUUGGCGAAGUUUUAAUAUUCUCAUCUAGGAGUAGCAUUAUUUUAUUGCAGGUGAAAAAAAAAAAAAUCUGCACCAAAGUAUCUUUUCCAAUCAAAUUGCACUCUUCAAAGUAUAUGCAUGACUAAUACGCCAACAUUUUGUUCCGUUUGAAGUUCGCUCUAUUCAGACGAGCGACUUUUGCAAUGAAAAGAUCUUAGAAUAUUGAAAUGGACAACAUAUACUUAUAUAGAUAGUUCUUAUUUUUACCAGAAUUCAAAACCAUCCACAAAACAGUAAAAGUUGUUCUAAACCAAAUUACCCCAGAAACGUACAAGCAAAACAUAAUACCAUGGAGGAAAUAAGACAAACUAAAUAGCUAAACUAUCUCAGCGUUCAUUCGGAGAAACAUUUGAGACUUGAAAGUUAUCCCCCACGAUAGUCUUGAGUGAGUUAAACCUUGGAAGAUAUCGAGUCGCUACAGUUCCAAUACCCCUGCUAAUGGGGAUCAUCGUAAAAGUCAUGUCUUUUGAGUUGUAAGAAAGUAGCUGUGAGCCUUUUUUUCCUUGCAUCAAGAUUUCUCCAUCUUUCCAGAUUAGUAUCGGUAAAUAUUUUUGAAAACAAAUAUCAAGCCCAAAACCAGCCGGCCCCAAACAAGUCAAAAUGCGAACUUUAGUCCAAGAUUCAGCCAUUCCAUAUUCUUUCAUCCACCAUAUAUCAAUAUGCCCAUAAAUGCUACCACUAUCAUCAGUUAAACACAGACAAUUCCCCAGCUCUACCAGCGUCAAACACGAGGGUGCACAUGUAGAUCGCUGCGACUCUGCUUGGGCCAAAUACUUGAAUGGAAAUACCAGACCAGGUGGACCUGGCACAGACUUGAGCUUUUCAGUCUCAAUAACGAAGGAGUAAAUACUGUCCUUAUCGAUGGGAUCCAUCCAAUGAAGAGCCCCAUUCACACAAACCUGUCCAAAAUCCUGCCAUACAGGAUAUGGAACUUGGCCCAAAUUUCUCCAUUUCUCAUCAACUCCGAGAGUAUAAACCUCCAAUUCUGAUACUUCACGAUGACCCGUAAACCUUCUAGUCACUGAUCUCACUAACUUAUACUUUCCAGACACUUCACUAAAGCAAAAUCCAUAAACAACACGACAAACACUUUUCUCUAAUUCGGGCAACUUAAGUUUGAAAUACUCACCCAAAAGAGGAUUACUAAUGUAAACUGAAGUAUUUAUAUCAUAUAUAUUAGUCAUCAAACCAAUAAAUCCAUUACAUGAACCAAUUAAUCAAAACAUUGGGUAAUCCUCAACUGGAAUGUCCAUUCCGUGUUUUACUGGUGUGUUAAACUCAGGGCAGCUCAGUAAAAUAGGUCUGUUACGGAGUCUAGAAGAAUAAUCAUCACAACAUGGUUCGAGUUCAAGAAGCUGACUUAUGUCGUGAUCACGCGAAAACAAAAUGUAGGGAGGAGGUGAUCUUGAUUUAUACAUGGUAAGGAAUAAAGGGUCAGAGAAAAGAUUAUACCAGAGUUUGCAAACUUGCCUAGAGCUUAACAUGGACUCGAUCGGCAAUUUUGAGAGAAUUUCUACCAUAAUCACCCUUGGAAGAUGCAUAAAUCUGGUUCUUCUACGUCUAGGUUUGAAGAAGCUCAGAAUUGGGUUAAAGAGAGCAAAAAGCUUUGCGCUUUUGCGUUUAGGGUUCUCCGCCUCCAUCUCUCUCUCUCUCUGUGCAAAUAAGCAUUUUUUCCAAAGACAAAUGUUCGUCAGAAGCACGAAAAUCAGCUUCUGUAGUCAAAGUACUUAAACUUUAUACCCCAAAUAUAUACUCCCUCCAGUUUGUAUUAUUUUACCCCAUGAAUGUUAGAUCCGGAAUCUAAGUGAACCCCAAAUAGUUAAAAGUGACUGAAAUAGGACACGAAGUUAAAGUGAUUCCAAAAUAGACUUACCGCACUAUUUAGAGAGUGUUAUACUGCCUUUUUAAAGUUAACCCCGUUAACUUGAGGAACACUUAAAAUAUAGUCAAUUUUGGUAUCGCUUUAACUUCGUGUCCUAUUCUGAAACGUGCAAUUGCUAGUUUGUUGAAACAAGUGUCAUAAGUUCUGCAAUAGAUAUAUGAUACUCAACUAGUGAAAAACAAUGUUAUUUACUUAUUAAUCAGAAGUCCAUAUUCUGACCUCCAAAUUGUUCUAUUAUUUAAUAAUUUAGGAAAAGCUGAUGUAUUUUCUGGUAAAGGUCAUUCAUAUCCAAAUGUACAAACUACAACAACCAUUUAGAAUGUAGUAACAAAGCUCAGUAGUUAGUCCUAUGGCACACUAAUUGGGCUACCACCUUGAUUCUUGUUUCUGGUAAAGGUCAUUCAUAUCCAAAUGUACAAAUGGCUCCCACAAGUUUAUCUCAGUCCACAAUACCAGAUUUUGGUCUUGAGAGAUGGAGACACCGUCUCAGAUAAGUCAAGAUAUUUACAUUUGUAGUUUCGACUAGCAUAUAACUCAGACGUAAACAAGUCAUAAUAUCAGGAUAUGUUGCAAGACAAACUACCUAUAGAGAACAAGUGGUUUAGCAAGUUUUAAUGAACUAAGAAGACUUUCAAUAGCAAAUAUCUGUAGACUUACAAGACCAUGGUCUACAGCAUGCUUAGAUGGAACUGGAGCGAAGCAGCGUCAAGUUGAAACGAAUGACGGAGCACCUUUACAAUAGCCUAUCUUGCCAAUGAAACUGAACUUGGUAUCUCUGUAGAACAACAAACAUUUCGGUUGCUUCUCUGAAGCUUGUAAAAUUAGGAAUUAGCACUUAGUUGCCGAUGUUAAUAAACCUAGCAGCAAGGUUGUGCAAAAUAUCAAGUGACUUGAAAAAAAUUGCUUAAAUAAAAAUUUGUUACAUCCUUUACAAGCAGAAAAUCCUUGUUUACAAAAUAAUUACAAUAAAAAAAGGAAUUGUUUUCUCUCUUUGUCAAGUCCUGCUCUCUACUAUAUCUCAUCUUUCUCAUUUCUAAUCCGAUUGCUUUACAAAAUUUCAUGGGCAGAAGAAUUUGCACCAUGUCCUACUUAUAAUCUCCUCAAACGGGCAGAAAGAUCAAUGAACACAUCCUCUUUGCAAUGUAUUGUAAGAUCACCCGUUGGAUGAUCAAAGCCAAACUCUUCUUCAGCUUGAGCUAGCAAGUCUUGAAAUGAUGGUUGGUUCAAGUAUGAUACUGGCACGACAAAUCUCUUCUUUUGACUCUCUCCUACAUAUACGGCACAAUGACCUUUUGGAACACCUCCUGAUGUUGAAGACUUCCUUAGGAUUCCCAUUAUCACAAGGUAUAUUUGGUACACUCUAAAUGGUGACGGAAAAGAAAGAACAAGAAUUUGGAGAACUGCACAGAAAAACUACGUAUACUGCACAAUGACCUUUUGGAACAACUCCUGAUGUUGAAGACCUCCUUAGGAUUCCCAUUUUCGUAAGGUAUGUUUGGUAAACUCCAAAUGGUGAAGGAAAAGAAAGAACAGGAAUUUGGAGGACUGCACAGAAAAAAGAAAGUUUGAUUAACUGUCU